CCUACGGGAGGCUGCAGUAGGGAAUAUUGCUCAAUGGGGGAAACCCUGAAGCAGCAACGCCGCGUGGAGGAUGAAGGUUUUCGGAUUGUAAACUCCUUUUGUUAGAGAAGAUAAUGACGGUAUCUAACGAAUAAGAACCGGCUAACUCCGUGCAAGCAGCCGCGGUAAUACGGAGGGUGCAAGCGUUACUCUGAAUCACUGGGCGUAAGGAGCGAGUAGGCGGGAUAGCAAGUCAGAUGUGAAAUCCUAUGGCUUAACCAUAGAACUGCAUUUGAAACUGUUAGUCUAGAGUAUGGGAGAGGUAGGUGGAAUUCUUGGUGUAGGGGUAAAAUCCGUAGAGAUCAAGAGGAAUACUCAUUGCGAAGGCGACCUGCUAGAACAUAACUGACGCUGAUGCGCGAAAGCGUGGGGAGCAAACAGGAUUAGAUACCCGUGUAGUC
rnacentral:rRNA from 1 species